UACGUAGGGUGCAAGCGUUAAUCGGAAUUACUGGGCGUAAAGCGCACGUAGGCGGAUAUUUAAGUCAGGGGUGAAAUCCCAGAGCUCAACUCUGGAACUGCCUUUGAUACUGGGUAUCUUGAGUAUGGAAGAGGUAAGUGGAAUUGCGAGUGUAGAGGUGAAAUUCGUAGAUAUUCGCAGGAACACCAGUGGCGAAGGCGGCUUACUGGUCCAUUACUGACGCUGAGGUGCGAAAGCGUGGGGAGCAAACAGG
rnacentral:rRNA from 1 species